rnacentral:lncRNA from 1 species
AUGAGCUUGGAGGAACACUCUUCCCCAAGCCUGCAGAUGGAAGCACAGCCAGCCCAACAUCUCGAUUUUGGCCUUGAGACUCUGAGCAGAGAACCUAAUCAACCCCGCCCAGGCUUCCCACCUACCGAAAUGGAGAUAAUAACAACUGUUGUUUUAAGUCACCAAAUGUGUGGUAAUCUUUUAUGCAGCAAUAGAAAACUAAUAUACAUAGCAUCUUUAAAAGCCUAUGAAAACCAUGGAGAGUAUAUUGCAAGGAAGAUAGACUCGGGAGAUGACACCAGCCUCAGGAGUCAUUGCUGUUUUCUGUACAAGAAAUAAUAAACUGUGUUUCUUCUUUCUACACAAUGCUUACGACUGUUUUGUGGCAAGAGGAAUUCUGAACGUUGAUGUCGGUGACGCUCACUUUAAAUGCCUGUGGCAUUAGUGCAAUCUAAUGAAAAGCUACUGUCUGGCAUUCCCAAUGGCCACUGAAUUCAUUAGCUUUUAAGACAAUCCACAGGGAAACACUUAAACAUGUAUAAAAGCCACUAUGCAAAAUACAGAUUUGAUUAUUAAAACCUCUAAGACAUGAAGUACUAUUCUAUAUGUUGGUUUUGUUUAGAUAUGAUGCUUAUUGAACAUAAUUUCAGGACUAUUUUAGGCUCAAUAUUUGCAUUUCAGUUUCACAUAAAAAUGUUACAUAAUGCAUUAAUGCAUUUUAUAAUGUGUUAAAGAGAUUGAUACCAAUUCAUGCCUACUGGUUAAAGAGUGGGGUUUAUACUUUCUUGAUCCAGUUUUAUCUUGUUUUUUUGAGACAGUCUUGCUCUGUUGCUCAGGCUAGAGUGCACUGGUGCGAUCUCAGCUCACUGCAACAACUGCCUCCCAGGUUCAAGCGAUUCUCCUGCCUCAGCCUCCUGAGUAGCUGGGAUUACAGGAUCCCACCACCACACGUGGCUAAUUUUUUUUUUUUUUNNNNNNNNNNNNNNNNNNNNUGGAGUUACAGAUCCACCACCACACGUGUCUAUUUUUUUUUUUUUUGUAUUUUUAGUAGAGACGGGGUUUUGCCAUGUUGGCAAUUUUGGUAGCUCCUGACCGCAGGUGAUUCACCUGCCUCAGCCUCCCUAAGUGCUGGGAUUACAAGUGUGAGCCACUGUGCCUGGCCUCAGUUAUUUGUUUAUUCACAUUGUUUUUAAGAGACAAGAGUCUUGCUCAGUCACCUGGCCUGGAGUGCAGUGGUGUGACCAUAGCUCAUUGCAACUUCGAACUCCUUGACUCAAAUGAUCCUUCACUUCAGCCUCUCUAGUAU